UUGGCUGUCGUCAGCUCGUGUCGUGAGAUGUUCGGUUAAGUCCGGCAACGAGCGCAACCCACAUCUUUAGUUGCCAGCAGUUCGGCUGGGCACUCUAAAGAAACUGCCCGUGAUAAGCGGGAGGAAGGUGUGGAUGACGUCAAGUCCUCAUGGCCCUUACGGGUUGGGCUACACACGUGCUACAAUGGCAGUGACAAUGGGUGAAUCCCAAAAAGCUGUCUCAGUUCGGAUUGGGGUCUGCAACUCGACCCCAUGAAGUCGGAAUCGCUAGUAAUCGCGUAACAGCAUGACGCGGUGAAUACGUUCCCGGGCCUUGUACACACCGCCCGUCACACCAUGGGAGUUGGUUCUACCCGACGACGCUGCGCUAACCCUUCGGGGAGGCAAGCGGCCACGGUAGGAUUAGCGACUGGGGUGAAGUCGUAACAAGGUAGCCGUAGGGGAACCUGCGGCUGGAUCACCUCCUUUCUAAGGAUGAUCUUAGUCAGAUAAGUUCGCUUAUCUCGUAGAUCACUUAGCAGUGCUUUAAGCACAUAAGCUAGGUUUCUUCGGAAACUUAGUAACGGUACCAGGCCGUCCUCGUAUCUCUUCAUCGUCAUCACGGGCUACCGCCCGUUUGGGUCGGUAGCUCAGGUGGUUAGAGCGCACGCCUGAUAAGCGUGAGGUCGGAGGUUCAAGUCCUCCUCGACCCACCAAAAAAAAGGGGGCGUUAGCUCAGAUGGGAGAGCACCUGCUUUGCAAGCAGGGGGUCAUCGGUUCGAUCCCGAUACGCUCCACCAUUUACACGUUAAAUGGAUCACCAAGUACACAUUAGUGUUUUUGGUCGUCCAUUUGGACGAAUUGAAAUCGUAUAGAGAGAAAAAACAUCAGUUUUGUUUAUUGCGUAGCCGAGUGUGGUUGCGCGGGCUUUUAUUAGCAAAAAUAAACAGAAUUAAUCCAAGUCAAGUAAACUAACCAAAACUAUAAGUUCUUACACUUGAACCAGCGUAAGAACUUGGGAAAAUUUACUCUUUUGUUCUAGAUAAAGCCUAGCUUUUUCUGGAUCAAAUCAAGCGCGAAAAGGGCGUUUGGUGGAUGCCUUGGCAGUAAGAGGCGAUGAAGGACGUGAUACUCUGCGAUAAGUCGUGGUGAGCCGAGAAUAGGCUUUGACCCGCGAAUCUCCGAAUGGGGAAACCCGG
rnacentral:sRNA from 1 species